CUUCCCAAACUUUGGCCGUUCCAAACAGCGGCUCUGUAAAUGACCAGUUGACCACCAUGGCUUUGCGCCACCUCACAACCGCCAUUGCAGCCAAGCUCCGCCGCCACGUCCGCACGUUCGUGAACGCUAAGGUUAAGUGGGUCCGAGACCCGUACCUCGACAAGGCAGUCGAGAACGAGAAGAACCUCAAACCCUUACUCUCUCUCAAAACAGUUAUCCUCUCCCAACCAUCUAAAACCCUACCGCUCCGCACCGUCGCCGCUCUGAAGCCCCAUCUCGGCCUCCCAACCACCGCCUUGAGAUUCAUCCAGAAAUACCCUUACAUUUUCAAGGUUUUUCGACCUCCGAACAAGUCCCUAUCUACCCCUCACGUAAAGCUCACUCCGAAGGCUCUCUCUCUGCACACCGAUGAAAUGCUGAUCCUGAGCCUUUCGCAUCACCGGAAAGACGUAGCGGAACGGCUGGCGAAGCUCUUGAUGCUCGCCAGAGCUAAGAGACUCCCGCUGGGUGUGAUUGAGAAGUUCAAGUUCGAUUUGGGUUUGCCGUAUGACUAUUUGCUGAGUUUUCUACCCGAAUUUCCGGAAUAUUUUCAGAUUUGUGACAUGGGGUUUAGGGAUCCAUCGGGACUCCAAGUGUUCGGAUUAGAAUUGGUUAAAUGGAGGGAUGAUUUAGCAGUUUCCGUAAUGGAAAAGAGGGCGAGAAGUAAGGAUUCCGAGGCUGGAAAUGGAAGGCCUAUUAGGUUUUCGACGAAUUUACCAAGAGGGUUUGAUUUAGAGAAGAGAGUGAAGAAUUGGGUGGAGGAAUGGCAAAAUUUGCCGUACAUUUCGCCUUAUGAGGAUGCUUUUCAUUUGAAUCCUAAUAGCGACCAGGCAGAGAAGUGGGCAGUGGCAGUGAUUCAUGAAAUGCUUAAUUUGCUGGUGUCCAAGAAGACAGAGAAGGAGAAUGUUUAUUCUUUGGGGGACUAUUUGGGUUUUGGGAUGAGAUUCAAAAAGGCUUUGGUGCAUCACCCAGGGAUAUUUUACCAGUCUAACAAAAUCAGGACACAGACUGUAGUUCUAAGGGAGGCUUUUAAGAAGAAUUUUUUGAUAGAGAAGCAUCCAUUGAUAGGCAUGAGAUACAAAUACAUCUAUCUCAUGAACUUGGUGUUAAGAAGGGGCAUUCCGAUUCAUGCUGGAGCUAUUAGAUAUAGGGAACGCUUGGCUUGUAUUAAAGGACAGAAAUUCAAGGCAAAGGAAAGGAGCCAAAAUCGAGUGAAUCAGUUCCGAGCUUAGUUACAGAAUCGAUGCACUAAAGCAAAAAAAGUUUAGAAUAGCAGUGCACAAAGUGGUGUUAAAUGGAUAGUUCUUUGAUAGUAGGUGGUGGUUGGAUGAGGAUGGAACUUAAAAGCAGGAGAGGUCAUCAUCAUAAAACAAAGCAUGCAACUAGUAACUUCUAGACUACAGUUUUUUCUAGGAAGCAAAUGUAAGCAAUAGGUUUGUCAUAUGUUGUAGUGGAGAUUCCAGAAUAUUGCGGUUCCUUGGCAGUUUAAACUACAUGAAUGUGAUCUUUGAGGUUAUUUAGGAGGUAGCUUCUUCUCUUUGUGUUGGAUGCUUUAACACCGUUGAGAAAUCUAAGGAGUUCAUCUGCUAUGGCAAUUAUACUUCAUUUUCCUCUCUUGUCUGCCACAAGAGGAUGCUUUCUGUUAAAUCAUUGGACUUAUGUGUAGCAUGUUUUACAUGUGCUUGUAAAGGGGUACUGACUGAUUUUAACAAGACAAGGUGAAAAAGAGGUUGUUGAGCAAUGGAGAAAAAGUACAUUUUCCACACAAUUGAGUGAAUCGUUCUACAUGAUUUUUCAGACCUUUUUCCAGAAGGAAUUCAUACGGUAAAUUCUUUCAUCUUUAGACUUGUUGCAUUUAAUGAUUGGUCAUAUUUAAAUGAAAUACAGAGUGCAGUUUUAAAACGGAUAAGCAAUUACUACGUUAGUACAUCUUGUGAGCUGUAUAAUAUAUUUGUAAAAAAUAUAUAUUCCCCCCAUUAUAAGACAAUAUAGGGUCAUGCAAUAUCUGUUUAA